UACGAAGGGGCUAGCGUUGCUCGGAAUCACUGGGCGUAAAGCGCACGUAGGCGGAUUGUUAAGUCAGGGUGAAAUCCUGGAGCUCAACUCCAGAACUGCCUUUGAUACUGGCGAUCUCGAGUCCGGGAGAGGUGAGUGGAACUGCGAGUGUAGAGGUGAAAUUCGUAGAUAUUCGCAAGAACACCAGUGGCGAAGGCGGACUCACUGGCCCGGUACUGACGCUGAGGUGCGAAAGCGUGGGAGCGAACGAGG
rnacentral:rRNA from 1 species